UCAGUGUGACUGCCAGCGCGGUCUUCAC
rnacentral:sRNA from 1 species